AGAGUUUGAUCCUGGCUCAGGAUGAACGCUAGCGGCAGGCCUAACACAUGCAAGUCGAGGGAGAAGCCUUUCGGGGCAGAAACCGGCGCACGGGUGCGUAACGCGUAUGCAACCUACCUUUCACAGGGGGAUAGCCCGAAGAAAUUUGGAUUAAUACCCCAUAAUAUUGUUGGAUGGCAUCAUCUGACAAUUAAAACUGCGGUGGUGAAAGAUGGGCAUGCGUCCUAUUAGCUAGUUGGAGUGGUAACGGCACCCCAAGGCUACGAUAGGUAGGGGUCCUGAGAGGGAGAUCCCCCACACUGGUACUGAGACAGGGACCAGACUCCUACGGGAGGCAGCAGUGAGGAAUAUUGGUCAAUGGUCGGAAGACUGAACCAGCCAUGCCGCGUGCAGGAAGAAUGCCUUAUGGGUUGUAAACUGCUUUUAUAUGGGAAGAAUAAGGCGUACGUGUACGUUGAUGACGGUACCAUAUGAAUAAGCAUCGGCUAACUCCGUGCCAGCAGCCGCGGUAAUACGGAGGAUGCGAGCGUUAUUCGGAAUCAUUGGGUUUAAAGGGUCUGUAGGCGGGCUAUUAAGUCAGGGGUGAAAGGUUUCAGCUUAACUGAGAAAUUGCCUUUGAUACUGGUAGUCUUGAAUAUCUGUGAAGUUCUUGGAAUGUGUAGUGUAGCGGUGAAAUGCUUAGAUAUUACACAGAACACCGAUUGCGGAGGCAGGGGACUAACAGACGAUUGACGCUGAGAGACGAAAGCGUGGGGAGCGAACAGGAUUAGAUACCCUGGUAGUCCACGCU
rnacentral:rRNA from 1 species